GAUGACAAGUCUGAGAAGGCGAUGAUUUACGGCUGCAUAGCUCAGCUGGCUUAGUCGCUCAUGCUUGGUGUGGGCGUUGUUGAGUGUUGUGCGCGUAUUCCAUGGCUUCGGGGACAAUUUUCGCUUUUCCUCAAAGACUGGUAAUGCGAAACUUCGGGACCAUGCACAUUAGUGGGGUCUUAAGAAACGACUGAGGCUGAUGAGCUGGGAUCAGGUGACAACACGGCUAUGUCGAAGAAUCGCAACACUUCUGCGGCUCUGUGGUGUAUGCCUGAAUCUUUCGGUUGCCCAACGAUAACAGACGUGAUGCGAAAUAUGAGCAACAGAAUCUACCAUUUUGCGAGGAGACUAAAGAUCGCCUACUCUGCGACCAACGGACAAGGUUGCGUCGCCGGGCCGGUGACCUCAGAAGUUCGCUGAACAAGCCGUUGUAAAGGAAUUGAUGUAUUGGGUCCCAGGGCGUCACAUGCAUGUUCUGCGACCAAGCUCUCAAAAAGACAGAGGUCGCGGUUACUGAGAAACGGAGCCAAUAUCUACAAAGCUGGACCACAUUCUUCCAUGGCAAUCUAGCCUACAGUGGAGUAGCGUACCAGGCCUGUUGCUAGGCUAACCUCUACAGAUAAAAUCAAACACUUCCCUUUCUGGCAACACAGUGUUCCUCAUAGCGAGCCGAAAUUGCAAUGUGAACUGCCUACUUGCCAGCGAAAGGAACCACAGCGUCAACAAGCGUAAGGCGGAGACUGUAUGAAGCAAUAGUUGGCGUACGAAUUUUGCCACGUGUCUCGAAAACUUCGGGAGAUAGAGGACCCUGCCGAGUAACGAGCCGUCUCGGCUUGACUUCGCGCCAAGACGAGCAAAUGCUGCGAUGCAGGAUCCAUAACCCCCAUCAAUCACGCGAAGCUAACCUGUAUCAGUCUUGCCGGUGGUCGGAGAAGAUCACCAGAGAUGUCGACGCGGACCUCCGAAGAUACGAAGAAACGGAAUGACGACAGAGAGCGUCAGCGCUAUGCAGAAAACAACGUUAGGCAUCGGCGACAGACAACAACGUACACGCGGAUGCCUUAUAAACAUGGCGUACUCACGGUUCCGACAUGAGCGUCGGACCUGCGCGAAAUUGCUCAUCAGGUUUUACAAUAUUUCUCAGGUUUGGCUGGGUGCCAACAUAGACUGUCUUAUUCGAGUUGAUAAAACUGAAAUCUUCUUAACGCAAAACUUUACUUGAAAUGGGAAUCAAUACGUGUACACGUGAGUAUUCAUUCUGAAUGUAAUAAGAGAUGUAAUGUAGGUUCGUGAUUGAUCUGCAUUACAUCUCCAAGUGCAUCGACGUCGCGCAGGACAUGUUCUCGUAAGCAUGUGGGUAUCUUGUAAGCAUGUGGGGCUGUGCCCAGGCUUCUUUGCAGCAUCAACUCGACAAAUAAAACUGUCUUACCUUGCCACGGACGAGCUAUGUUAGCGGUGUCUGCGACUGAAGCGUAAAUUGCAUUUGAUGUUUGUGUCUUUCAGUAUGUCCUUGAAGUACCUACAGAGCUCGGUUUUCUGUAUGUUUCACGAAGUGAAACAUCAACAUACGCUUUACCUCGACCUCUUUGGCUACAGUAGAACUGUCGCUACAUGGCAUGAAUAAAGGCGAUCGUCAUUUGGUCCCUACUUUGGUGCGACCCCGCAAAAGAACAGCAGGCGUGAAAAUGGCCGUGAGCAGCUCACUGUAGAGGACACACAUGAGUAUGGGAAACACAGUUUGUGAGAAAAAUUGGAUAAGCCAGGUUCUAAAAUGAUCAGAUGACUAAAUUGACCAGAUGGUAAGAGGGAGGAACGUCACAUUAUUCGCUCGUUAUUUCCACAAACGCAAUACGUCAGCACUCAGUUUCUUCUCACCUUCUUUCUUUCUUAUCUUUUUGCAGAUAUUCGCCAUCACUAGUGUUUCCACGUUUGAUUACUCCACUAAUCACCUAAUGCUAGCAUGCGUAAUCACACGUAGCCGCCUUCGCUAAAUCAUCAU